AAAAAAAAAAAAAAAAAAAAAAGAACAUUCUCGUCACUCCUAAAUCCAGUAGCACGAUCGUGACUUUUCCAACAACAAUCAACGACAGUUGAUGGGCGUUUGACAGAAGCUUUUUCUCUGACAUUAUGUGGUUGUAUUUCCGACACUUAGACGACAGCUGGAUGGGAGGUUGAUGCAAGCUUCAUCUCCAAAAGCAAGUUUUUUUUUCGUUUCAUUAAGAUUAUACUGUAUUUGAAUGUAAUUAAGUGUAUAUUUCAUGAUAGAUGAGUAUUAGGUUAAUUUUUUAUGAAUUUUGAAAAAUAUUUAAUGAGAUUAUAGUUUGAGAAAAAUGGCAUAUGAGGUGUUUGUUGAGAUGCCUAUUAAACUUUGUUAUCUCAUUUUUGAUAGAUUAUGUCGUGGGCGAAUCCGUGCUUGGCAAAGCAUAGCAACAUGCUUACUUUGAUUUUGAGCAACAAGUGCUUGUCGCCUGGGAGACAGGUGUCUGUCAGUCAAAAUUACAUUAAUAUGUUUGUUGUGAUUUUGUGCAAUAGGCACCUAUGGCUUGGGAGAUAGUGCAUGUUGCUCAAAAUCAUAGCAAUACGCUUGCUUUGAUUUUGAGUGGUGGGCGUUAUCGCCCUGAAAACAAGUGCUUGUCACUUAAAAUUACAUUAACAUACUUGUUGUGAUUUCAUGAGAAGGGUGCAGGUCGCCUGUGCUCUAGGCUUCCGUCACACUAAAUCAAAGCAACACUCAUUGCACUAAAAUCACUUGCUCUGCUUUGUUGAACACGAAUUCAUAGCAAGCCACAAUAAACCCACAACACAAUCUAUCACAAAUAAGAUAAUGAAGUCUAAUAGGCACUUCAACAAACAUCUCAUAUGCCAUUUUUCUCAAAUCAUAAUCUCGUUUAAUUCUUUUCAAAAUUCAUAGUAAAUUAACCAUAAUACUCAUCUAUCAUAAAGUAUACACUCAAUUACAUUCAAAUGAUGGUCUAAUCUUAGUGAAACAAAAAAAAAAACUUGAUUUAGGAGAUGAAGCUGCUGUCAAUCGCCCAUCCAACUGCCGUCUAAGUGUUGGAAAUACAGACAGGUGAUGUCGGAGAUGAAACUGCCGUCAAACGCCCAUCCAACUAUCAUCAAUUAUUGCCAGAAAAGUUAAGACUGUGCUGGUGGAUUUGAGAGAGAAGAAAUGUUAAGUUUUUUAGGUUUUGGAAUGACAAGGGUAUUGUUGUCCAAAAAUGUUGAAAUUGGCUAUAUAAGGUAGAAAAAGUUAAAUUGACUAAUUCUAAAAGACCCUAAAUUUUUUUGGCUAUUUUUGUAAAUUUUUCAAAUAUCUAGCCCAUUUUAUCAUGGAUUCUAAUGCUUGAAUUUAUUAUGAGUG
rnacentral:lncRNA from 1 species